UCUAACCCAUUAUAGAUAUAUUGACAAUGAUAGCUAGUAGUUUUGCAUUUUAAUUAAUAAUUGUGAUUAUGAAAUUAUGCUUAUAAUCGUUAGUGUACUUUAGAUGAACUGUUCAUCAAUCGCUAGAAAAUGAAGAAUUUUAUCAAGUAUAGAAUAAAGAGAUAACUCUAGAAGAAAAAGUCAUCUCUGCCUUGAAGUCAAAGGAUCUGGAAGUGAAGUUUACAGGGUUUUUGUUUAUUUUUCUAGGUCUUUAUUUUAUUUUCUGUUUGUGUUAAUUUUUGAUAUUUUUUUACUCUGUUUUCAUAAAUUUCUAAAAAUAAUGUACAAUGUAUAAUUUAUAACUUUCCGUAUAAUUAAAGAUAUUUACAAAAUAUUAGAUUUUUUUGUGAUAUAUUUUAAAAUAUCUUUCUUAAUAUAUGGAAGUAUUAUACGUACGUAGUAGACCAAUUUCUCAUAAUAUAUAUUCUAAUUUUUUGAACGAUUUCGUAUAAAUAUCUCUUUUCCUAAUAAUCCUAUAUAACCUAAUUAUAAAUAACAGUAAUUAACAGUAAUGGCUGGAAAAAAAGAAUAACAAAUUUUUGUGUGACGAAGUUUCAAUAUUUCAUAUCCCUUUUCAACAUUGAUGAGAUGAGAAAAGGGUUAGGAAAUUUUGAAACUUGGUAACAAAAAUUAAUUGGAGACCUCUACAACCGGACUUCGGAAAAGGCGAACUCGUACUCAAGCUCAAAGCAACAAGGUACGUACUCUGUUUAUUUGAUGACAAGGUCAGGCCUGGUUUGAAAGCUCAAUCUUAAAGUUCUCGAUUUGGAUGGCAAACAAGGCCAUCGGGAGUACUGGCUGGUAAUUAAUAAUAAAAUCAUGCACCAAAAUAUUCAAUUCAAUUGUUUAUUUUAUGUGAUUCAAAAUUGCUUAUAUAUAUAUAUAUAUAUAUAUAGAUGUUUUGUUUUUAUUUUCUUGGGCAAUUAAAGCACCCUCAUCUUGUAAACUUGAUCGGUUAUUGUUGCGAAGAUGAACAUAUAUAGGCUUAUUGUCUAUGAAUUCAUGCCUCGGAGAAGCUUAGAGAACCAUAUUUUCAAAGGUUAUUCUGGAACCUUACCGUGGUUAACGAGAAUAAAAAUUGCAAUUGGCUCAUCAGUGUUUGAGCCACAACCCCAAAUCUCGACCCACAAUGAGUAGUGUGGUCAAAUCGUUGGAGCCACUUUUGGGCUUGACUCGUGACAUUUCAGUACCUUUUGUUUAUGUUGUUCGUUCCCACUGAAUUAGGAAGAGAGGAAAAAGUUGAUCAUGAUGAUGAAGAUGUGGUACUUAUGAGUAGUAGAAGUAAUAAUAAUAAUGGAGAUAAUAAUACAUAGUUACCAAAGAGAGGAAAAGAGCAGAGUCGACGUCGUUAUUGUUACAAGUGUUCUGUUUUUAUCUUUCCCAAAGUCUGUUAUUGGUUACUUAUCAGAUAUUUUCUGUUUCUUGUUUUGUUAGUUUUCUCCUGGUUUUUAGGUUGUAAAACUUUGUUAUAUAAAUAUCAGAACACUUGAUCAGUUUUAAUUGAUCAACCAUUUCAUUUCA